rnacentral:rRNA from 1 species
GAUCAUGGCUCAGGAUGAACGCUAGCGGCAGGCCUAACACAUGCAAGUCGAGGGGGUAGAGUUCUUUGGGACUUGAGACCGGCGCACGGGUGCGUAACGCGUAUGCAAUCUACCUUAUACAGGGGAAUAGCCCAGAGAAAUUUGGUAUUAAUGCCCCAUAGUGUUAUCGAAUCGCAUGGUUUGAUAACUAAAGUUCCAACGGUAUAAGAUGAGCAUGCGUCCCAUUAGUUAGUUGGUAAGGUAACGGCUUACCAAGACAAUGAUGGGUAGGGGUCCUGAGAGGGAGAUCCCCCACACUGGUACUGAGACACGGACCAGACUCCUACGGGAGGCAGCAGUGAGGAAUAUUGGUCAAUGGGCGCAAGCCUGAACCAGCCAUGCCGCGUGCAGGAAGACGGUCCUAUGGAUUGUAAACUGCUUUUAUACAGGAAGAAACCCUCCCACGUGUGGGAGCUUGACGGUACUGUAGGAAUAAGGAUCGGCUAACUCCGUG